rnacentral:rRNA from 1 species
GAUGAACGCUAGCGAUAGGCUUAACACAUGCAAGUCGAGGGGCAGCGAGGGUAGCAAUACCUGUCGGCGACCGGCGCACGGGUGAGUAACGCGUAUGUAACCUGCCCGCAACAGGGGGAUAACCCGGCGAAAGUCGGACUAAUACCGCAUAAAACAGGGGUCCCGCAUGGGAAUAUUUGUUAAAGAUUUAUCGGUUGCGGAUGGGCAUGCGUACCAUUAGGUAGUUGGUGAGGUAACGGCUCACCAAGCCUUCGAUGGUUAGGGGUUCUGAGAGGAAGGUCCCCCACACUGGUACUGAGACACGGACCAGACUCCUACGGGAGGCAGCAGUGAGGAAUAUUAGUCAAUGGGCGAGAGCCUGAACCAGCCAAGUCGCGUGAAGGAUGACUGCCCUAUGGGUUGUAAACUUCUUUUACAAGGGAAUAAAAUGAGAUACGUGUAUUUUAUUGCAUGUACCUUGGGAAUAAGCAUCGGCUAACUCCGUG